rnacentral:rRNA from 1 species
CCCUUAGAUGUUCUGGGCUGCACGCGUGCUACACUGAUUACUUCAACAAGUGUUUUAACUGGAGAGUUCGCGUAAUCCUGAAAUGUUAUCGUGAUGGGAGUAGAGUAUUGUAUUUGUUAAUCUUUAACGAGGAAUUCCUAGUAAGUGUAGGUUUAUAAGUUGUUCUGAUUACGUCCCUGCCCUUUGUACACACCGCCCGUCGCUCCUACCGAUUGGGUGUGCUGGUGAAAUGUUCGGAUCGGCCGUUUGUCGCGGUUUCCGCGGCUCGUGGCUGAGAAGUUCAUUAAACCCUCCCACCUAGAGGAAGGAGAAGUCGUAACA